UAGCAUCUCCUUCUCUAAAGAGACUUUUGCAAGUCCUUUGCAAAAAUGAGAAUGUCAGAAAAGAGGACACUGCAGUUUUGAAUGCAGUUUAUGAGACUGAAGCUGAGGAAGGGCGUUUUCAGAAGGAUCAAAGACAGAAGAAAGACAGUUUUUACUAGACAAAAAGUGACAAGAGAGCUCCUCUAAGAAAAGAAAAGCUGCUUGCUUCAGCUCAGAAAGGGAGCAAAGAGGGACUCUUUGCAAGGUUGAUACAAGGAAUUGCCAUUUGUCUGACUGGAGAGAUGAAGUAUAAAUUCUUCCUGCAGAUGAAUAGCCAAGGCUAUGAUGAACUGUCAGCCAGUAUAAAGCAGAAGAGGGUCAGAUUUUACUGUUGCUGUGGAUGCCUGAUAUCAGCUCCUCUGGAAACAUUCAAGGAUAUUUUUGGUUCAAGAUUAAGGAGUCACAAGAUGAAUUAUUAACCAACUGAAUCCUUCUUAUUUUAUGUAUAUGAGCAAACUGCACUACUGAAACAAUAUUCUGCACUCAGGGCUGUCAGUGGAUAUUCACACAUUGUUCCUAAUGUGUUGUUUCUUUCCUAAAGCAAAAUUAGUUUAGAUGUUUUAAACAUGAACCUGAUUUUACAUCUUCAUUUGCAGCCCAAAAACCCAGUAUUGACAGGAUGUGAAUUUUCUUUCUACAGUGAAGCUUCAGGCCUGGAUUUUCAGUCUUCACCUAUGUUAUUGUAUAAAGUAUGUCAUUAUACUUGUCUAAAAAAUGUUAAUAAAAGAGCCUUCCUUGAUUUGAGCCUGCGCAGACUGCUUGCAACAGAACAAAUGUUGCCACUGAGUCUCAUGCAGCAUUUUUGGGAAUCUGGCUAAGAUUAUCUGAAGAGUUGUUAAUUUUGAAUUUGUUUAGUUUAAAAAGAAAGAAAUGCAAAUAUAGAGGAGACAAUGCCUUAAAGCAGAGACGAAUGCCAGGUUACUCAUAUAAGAAAAACUUGUCUCCUUUUCUCCACUUCCAUCUGGAUCUCUGCACAGAAAAUUGCCGGACGGUUUAAAAAUGGUUGAAAUCUUUGCUAAGACUGACCCCCACCCUGUCUCCUGAAUUCCUUUUGAUAGUGCUCCGCAGCUUCCUAGAUAAUGAAGCAAAAGAAUUCUCCUGAAUGCUUCUGGAUGACCUGCACUGCACCAGGGAAGACUGGCUGAUUUUAUCAAGUGAUGCUUUCCUUGCUCUUAUCUUAGAACACAUAGUGUCUUGUUUUUCCACCUACAUUUGUUAUGGUGAUCCCUCAUUUCCUCUCACCUCCUCCACCCUUCCCUCCCCCUUCACAGUGGCAGUAAAGCCAAAGGGAGAAGGAACCUUAAAGAAGUGGUGUAAUUAUUAACUAAUUUUGAUCUUGGGAAAAAGGGCAACCAAAGUAUUUCCUGUUUCCUAUAAUUAAAUACUCAAGACUCUGUUCUGCUGCACACACACAAGUUGUUUACUUUUAAUGUGCUCUCCAUGAAAUAUAAUCCUGUGCUUUAUUUCUAUAUCUUAGGCCAAAUUCAUAAUUGGUGUAAACAGCUGCUACUCAACUGACAAGUACUAAAAUGGGGACAGAGGAAAAAUAAGGUUAUAAGGUUUCAUCUGCUUACAGCAGAAAUGCAUUUGUUCUAUUUGUUCUUUCCCUUUACCUCACAGCGGCCUUGGGAAGACGACAAGUGGAGAAAGGGAAGUCUCUGAACUACAUCAAAGUAGAAAAAUUUGGUUAUACAAACUAAAAUGAAUUGGGAAAUCCAUAUAUACAUGGGACAGAUCAUGGACACUCAACCACAUAUACUAAAGAUGAAUAUAUCCUGCUGCUAGAACUUCCCCCAGUCUAUAAGAGCUGGAAGCUGUAUAAGGACUCUUAAGUCUCUGUGUAAAUAUUGACUUAGAAAAAUGAGAUAUUAUGAUUUGAAAUGACCUAAAUAAUUGCAUCAGAAGAUUCCCAUGCAAUUCACUGAAUGUACCACUGGAACUCAAUAAAUAAACAACCAGGUGCAGCAGUAUUUAGUGUAAUUUAUAGGAUAUCUUUCUCUUCCUGUGUGCUUAAAUAUGGGAUUAGCUGAACCAUUUUUUGAACCAUUCUUCCUUUUGAUCCACACGUGAAUUCAUUGCUAUUGAGGAUAGUCACAUCUCUAAACACAGAACACCAGCGUGUUCUGUCACAGGUAGGCUGUCAUUAGUGCAGAUUUGUACCAGAAAUUGUAAAGUAAUAUAGUAUCGGAAAAGGGUGCAAAUGACUGGUGGUCAGAGGAGUGCAUGAGUGUGACUGUAAGUGCUCCUACUAGCUUCUUUAUGUUUGGUAACCCCACAUUCCAUCAUCUAGGGCAAUGACAUUGUACAUAUUCUUCCCAGACAUCCUUUCUCAGAAAGGAGGCCUGGAAAGAGAUAAUAUUGUUUUGUUUGUGGACUGCCCAUAUUUUUUUAUAUUUCAUUUUAUUUGGCACUAAAGUGUUUAUAUGCCCACUGUGAUGCCUGCAAAGAAACCCAUUUGUGAGGUUUUCUCCCAAGAGGAGUCAGAUCUGCUCUGCAGCACAAAUGUUAUGCAGAGCAUAAAUAUUUCUCCACUUUAGCAGCUCUUUCACAGUGAUAUUUGUGACUUUGAUUCUCACCUGCCCAUAUUUGAGUAAUUUCUCUUUACAGUCUGUGUAUUCAUUUUGGCAGCCUAAGUCAUUUGUUCUUUUUUUCCCUCAAAACACUGAAGUUAAUUCAUCAGCAAAACUUACGCCUCCCUGCCUCAUUUAAACUCACAGCAGAGUGAUAUUGAUUUCAUAGCAAACAGGAAAAGAAUCUUCAAAGCAGCAAAAUCAAAGUGGAACUCACUGACUAUGACUCAACAGAACAAAAUUUUGGUGCAGAAGUAAAUCCCACCUUUUUGGUUGCAGCAUAGAUGAUUGAAGUGAAUUAAUUAGUGCCAACUUGAGACUUACAAGUUAAUAAAAUAAAGACAGAAUGACUAGAAAACUUUGAUGGCAUAACUGGCAUUUUUUCCAUUGCCUUAGAGGAGAACUUGCCCUGGGUUUCUAGUUGGAUUUGUUAAGAAUAUGACAGCUAAAGAGUACACCCUGACUGACACACUGCUGCCUCAAUGAUGGAGACUUUCAGGGAUGCCUCCAGCAGCUGCAUGACUUUAACAGCACUAUUCUCAUCAGCACCUAAAAUAGUGGAAUUUUUAGGGGGUGCAGUGCAAGGCUGAGUUCAGUAUCCAGCCAUAUCCUCAAAUCAAAGGAUUUGGCUACGUGGACUUUUCUGAAAACAAGGAGAAAAGACCACAUUGCUUCAGCCUGCUGCUCACUGAAUGUGGAAAGAUGAGUUUCACAGUUGAUGUUUCUCUGUUUAGAGACAGUAGUUUCGUGUGGACUUUUUCCAGAAAUAAGGAUAUAGAUUACUAGCUUUUUCUUCGUAUGUUCUCUUUGUAGUCCAUUUAACCUGUGGAUUUGUGGUGGUCACAGGCUGGAAACUACUGUUCUGGAAGAUGUUAGUUGAUUUCUUCUCCAGUCUGUUUACUAUCUCAAGAGUCUGAAAGACAUGAAGUACUGUAUAAGAACAUUCAGAGAAGCUGAGAAGACCUGUGUUGUGAAAGCUGUUAUUAUUGUUCACAGUUUGUGGUAUUUUUUCUUUUUAUUAGUAGAAAUUCUGUGCAUUUAAAAACUGAUUUAGAAUAGUCAGAAAACCAGAUUAGCCGAGGUCUCUUUCUGGUAUUGAAUUACUCUCAGAAGGUCAUUCCAGAGCAUAUUCAUUACAGAUACAAUCCACAAAUUCAUAAAAACAUGUCAAUCACUGAACUGUUUAUAUUGAGAGAUACAACUGAAACUGUACAAUAUUAUUCAAUAAAAUUACUAAAUUAU